ncrna:unclassified sequences Mu-gpT-DE RNA
CCCUGACAGUCGCAAUGUGCGGCUGACAUUUGCCACGACAGGAGAUUAUCAUG